ensembl:lncRNA
UAUCGUUACUUUAACUUUAUAUAGUUUCAUUUAUUGUGUGUUUUGUCUGUAAAGGAUUUUGUCUUGAUUUGUAAUAUAUUUCAUUCUGUAUUUUGUUCUGCAUGGUAUCUUUAUUUUUUUUCUUUCUAUAGUUUAAUUGAUCCUGUAUUGUUCUGUAUUUUGUCUGGGGUUUAUUUCAGACAUAUUUGUCUGUAGUUUAUUUAAUUCCAUGUUCCUCUACACACUAUUCCUCCACACACUAGACGGUAGUGCAGAGUGUAUAGUGUAAGUGAACAGUACUUCAUUCGGGACACAACUUUAGUAUUUACUCUCCGAGGCGUGUCUUCUGAACAGAAGUAACGUAGUGAGUAGAUCUCCGCCGUGCCGCGCAGACCAACUAAUCCAUAAUGAGAUUCGUCGACAACGAUUUUCACAAUCGAUUAUUACAAGACAAUAAAGACCCAAAACACUACAUACACAACAGCGUGAUGAGAGAUGUGGCGAGGAAAGUUUCAGGCUUGAAGAGCGCAGAUCCUUCCCCACAUUCUGGGCAGAGAAUGAACACACGGACACAUUUCUGGAAUGUGACACACAGGAAGCAGGAGAGGUCAGAGGUCAGGCCUCCAGUAAGGAAUUCUUUGGAAAUACAAGCAGCAUGAAAUGCAUUUCAGAAAACUGCGAGAGGUAAGUCUCUCUCUCUCUCUCUCGCCUUCUCACUCGCUCACACACACACACACACUUUCUACACAUAUCGAAGACUACUUGGUCUGCAAAGCAUUAUCUGGAAAUAUGAAACAUACUGCAGUCUGCAUCCAUCAUCACAACAACGUCAAUAACGUUUUAAACGCCGAUUCCGCUUUUUAUAAGAUUACGUUUGAUGAUCCCAUGGUGGUCAAUCAAAUCAUUUUUUUUUUUUUGUCAGUCCAUCCAUAUAGACACAUACUGCGACAGGAAACGUCACCUCACCACGUUACCACCAGACAUGAUAAAGCUACUACGCACAGAGAAACCCACAGGCCGAGUACAGGAAGAGAAGCACCUCAUGUAAACUUAAAUCGGGUUUGAACGCUGAUCUGUAACCUCACUUUCGACAGUCCAGAAUAAAGACUUGGACUGA